UCACAUGUCAUCUUUUUCAUACCAUCAUAAAGUUCAUACUGGAGAGAAACCUUACAAGUGUAGUAAGUGUGGCAAGACCUUCAGUCACACAUCAUCUCUUUCAUACCAUCAUAAAGUUCAUACUGCAGAGAAACCUUACAAGUGUAAUGAAUGUGGUGAGGUUUUUAAUCAUAAAUCAAAGCUUGCAUGUCAUCAUAGAUUUCAUACUGGAUAGUAACCUUACAAAUGUUAAGAAUGUGACAAAGUUUUCAGUCCCAAAUUAUACCUGGAAAGACACAGGAGAAUUCAUAUUGGAAAGAAACGGUACAUAUGUAAGGUUUGUGACAAGGCUUUUGGGUGUGAUUCACACUAGAGAGAAACCUUACAAGGGUAUUAAGUGUGGCAAAGCCUUUAGUGGGCAGUCAGCACUUAUUCACCAUCAAGCAAUCCAUGGUAUAGGGAAGCUUUACUAAUGUAAUGAUUGUCACAAAGUCUUCAGUAAUGCUAUAACCAUUGCAAAUCAUUGGAAAAUCCAUAAUGAAGAGAGAUCUCACAAGUGUAAUAAAUGUGGCAGAUUGUUCAGAAAUCAUUCAUACCUUGCAGUUUAUAGGCCAACUCAUGCUGGAGAGAAAGCUUACAGAUGUCAUGAUUGUGGCAAGAUCUUCACUCAAGCUUUAUCUUAUGCAAAUGAUAGGAGAAUUCAUACAGGAGAGAAACCUUGCUAGUGUGAUGAUUGUGGCAAAGCCUUCAUGUUCACAAGUCAUUAGACAUCAGAGAAUCCAUAUUGGGCAGAAAUCUAAAAACAAAUGUAUCAAGUGUGGCAAAGUCUUCAGUUCGGGCUUACUCCUUAAAGUACAUCAGAAACUUCAUUUUUGAGAUGAUUGUUCCAAAUGCAGUGAGUAUAGCAAACCAUCAAGCAUUAAGUGACCUUAGGGUCAAUUCAGCAUUGACUUGAGUUUGAGUUGACUUAACAUUGAGUUCAAGCAUUAAUUGACAUUAAAGUGUUUAUGUUAAGAGGAUUGGGCCAGGCUGGGUGUGGCUCACGCCUGUAAUCCCAGCGCUGUGGGAGGCCAAGAUGGUUAGGUCGCUUAAGGUCAGGAGAUUUGAACCAGCCUGGCCAACAGAUGUGAGCCCCCUUUUCAAGCCUGUUUUUUGUUUCUUUAACAAAACUGAUAGGGGAUUUUAUGGGUAAUGUGUUGAAUCUAAAUCACAUUGGUUUAUAUAAUCAUUUCACAACAUUUUCCAAUCAAUAUGAGUUGUAUCUGUAUUUACAUAUAUUUUUAAUCAUUUUGAUCAAUGUUUGUAGAUGUCAAGGUAGAAACUUCUCACC